ACUUGAUUGCAUUGUGAUAGCUCUCAUUAAUGCAACUAGGGUGAGGGUGGUUAUCCGUGAUAGUUCAGUGUUCUGAACCUAACCGGACCCCCAGGCGGUUAUUACGUUUUUGGUGAAUGUCCGAACGGACCCCCAGUUUUGGUGAAUGUCCGACUGGUUCAGUACUCUGAAUCCAACCAGGCCCGUAACGGUUAAUCAGCUACACCCCUUUAACGCGACAGAUAGUCACAGCCAGCAAUGGCACCAAGCCCAGCUCCAGCAGAACCAGCUUGGUGUCCUCCUGCCCUCGCAGGGACCCCUGGUCACACAGAUGGUGCUUGCCUGCAGCUCUGCAGCACACGGCUUCAAAAAAUGAGAAGCAUCCCUGUGGGACUGAGCCCAGCAUCUUGCAGCAUCACACAGGGCAGCAGAUCAAAGCUCCUCUCGGCAGCGAGACCCCAAGGCAUUCGUGAGAAAUGUUUGCUGCAACCACAACAACCUGCUGCAAACCUCAACUAGCAAUCAGACGAGCUGUGGUACCUCUGCAUCUCUGGGGUCCGUUUGGAUGGAGAUUCGGCCGUAACAUCCCAGGGUUACCCAGACUCCUACAAGCUAAUUUACAGGUAGGAUAAAGAACUGCUGCUUAUCUGAGCAGCUCUCUUAAUCUGAGAUUCACCACUAAUUACAGCCAAGGAUGAAGGGGGGGGGGGCUGACAGGACACAGCGUGCCUGUGGGACACAUUUCUCCUGUACGUACCUGCUGCACUGCAAACACUGAGCUUUUAAGGUGCUGUCUCCUGAACCUGUGAACCAGCAGCACCAGCCAAACGGUGUCUGCAGGAAGCACUGGAGAAGCAGAGUAACACAAAUC
rnacentral:lncRNA from 1 species